GCGGUGAAUACGUUCUCGGGCCUUGUACACACCGCCCGUCACGUCAUGAAAGCUGACAACACCUGAAGUCGAUGCGCUAACCCCUUAGCUAGUCUUAGGGGAGGUAGUUGCCCAGGGUGGGGUUGGUGAUUGGGACGAAGUCGUAACAAGGUAGUCGUAGCGGAAGCUGCGGCUGGAUCACCUCCUUUCUAGGGAG
rnacentral:rRNA from 1 species